CAGCAGCCGCGGGAAAACGGAGGGUGCAAGCGUUAAUCGGAAUUACUGGGCGUAAAGCGCACGCAGGCGGUCUGACAAGUCAGAUGUGAAAUCCCCGGGCUUAACCUGGGAACUGCAUUUGAAACUGUCAGGCUGGAGUCUUGUAGAGGGGGGUGGAAUUCCAGGUGUAGCGGUGAAAUGCGUAGAGAUCUGGAGGAAUACCGGUGGCGAAGGCGGCCCCCUGGACAAAGACUGACGCUCAGGUGCGAAAGCGUGGGGAGCAAACAGGAUUAGAUACCCGCGUAGUCCCUGUCUCUUAUAC
rnacentral:rRNA from 1 species